CCUACGUUCUCCACAAACUGCUGUAGUUGUCGUUAUCCCCUAAUACCGCCCCACGUUCUCCACAAACUCCAGCAGUUGACGUUAUCUGAAUUUGUUUCCAGAUUUGUAUAAACCCUGCUCGCCUUUCCUCUACAAAUUCAUUCCACCACUCACUCAAACCCUUAUUAAUCUCUUCUCCUCUUUCUCUCUCAUCACUCUCUAUGAUCUCUGAUGGCGGCGACGAACAUAGGGAUGAUGGAUAGCGCUUACUUCGUCGACCGAAACGAGAUCCUCGCCUGGAUCAACUCGACGCUCCAUCUCAACCUCUCCAAAGUUGAAAAGGUGGCGUCUGGAGCGGUCCACUGCAGCUUACAAUUUGGUCUCAAUUCCAAUAUUUAGAGAUUUGAGAUGGAAGAUCACAACUUUCUGCAUUGAAUCUAUCAGAACUGGAAUAUUCACUCUUAAAUCGAUCAAUAAUAACAUAUAGAUAUAUUUUGCCCCAAAAAAGUUGCAAAUUUUAGAGUACCUUGCCACCGAAGAGGAAGAAUUGGGCGAGGGCGACGCUGCCGACGCCACCCCAGAUCACCAUCGUCGAUGUCAGCAGUGACCAAUUUUUGUGACAUAAAAGAGAGCAUAGGAUGCGUUUAUGCAUAUAUGCCCCUUACAUCAUCACUAUUUGUGACAAUAUCCUUUACACUUACUAUUUGCAAAACUACUUUAUGCGGUUCACCCUGGGAUGGUGCCGAUGCACAAGGUUAAUUUUGAUGCCGAGUUCGAGUAUGAUAUGACACAUAAUUAUAAGGUUCUUCAGGAUGUCUUCAACAAGUUCAAGAUCAAUAAGGUUUUGGCUCUUCGAUCUCUAUAUUUUUUGUUGUUUGAUUGGUGAUAUUGUUGAUUUUUUUUCGUCUGUUGUUGGUAGAUGCGGUAGGAUUUUAGGUUGUCAUUGUGUUGGAUUAACCAAAAAAAGGGUGGUGGAUUUUGCAGCGAUUUGAUUUCUAUCUGCUUAUCAA